GAAAGUUUGCCUUUCACUAAGACAUCAGGACUAGUGUCUUCUUGAAGGAAAAGUAGAGUUCUGAGCCAAGGAAAAAAUCAUCAGGGAAGAAUUUAGAGGGUAACAGAUUCUCAACUCCCACCGCUUUUGAAAAGAAACACUUUGACCUUAUCCAAGUUUCUAAACGUGCACUUAUCAAGUAUGGUUGGAAAACUACGCUGCUGACAUUCACAAGUGGUUCUUGGAUCAGAACAGUGCGAAAGUCACUGCCAAAUCAAAAUACAGGAAGAACGUGAAAUGUGCUUAAGCCAGAACACGAACACGAGGAGACACUUUGGAAGACUCUUUUCCAGCCCUAUCACAGUGAUGAGGCAAGAGUAGGUGUGGCCAGGAAGACAAGAGGAGUGCAAGGCAGAUUCAAGAGAAAAGAAGGUGGAAAACACUUCCAACCUGCAUUGCUCAGCUGCUCCCCAGCCCUCAGGUGCCCCUGACCUGACACUUUUUGCAACUCCCUUCUUUGGAUCCUUUGUUUGCAGGAACCUGCUGGAAUAGAUGUCUACCAUUUUAGGUCUGUAUCUCUGGUUUCCUGGUGUUUCCUGCUGGACAUGCUUUGUUGCUUUUUAAAACAGGCAAAUACAAACUUUUAUCGAGGGGGCACAGAAUGCAAAGUUUUUGUCCUUGUUGACCGGUCAUGGUUCCUAGCAAUAUAAACACUUACAAAAAUAAAGUCCAUAAAGACUGUGUUUACCUUAGGGAAGGAGGGAAGCGAAUCAGGUCUGCAAGCCAGAGACAGCAAGCGCUUUGUUUCAUAUUGGACCUAGCAAGAAGGGAAACUUGCCAGAACUGAGGCCAGCAAAUUAAUUCAUGAUUCUCAGAAGACAAGAAGUACUCAAGUUAAUUGGAUGUAAUCAUACGGGUUUAUGAAUAUGAAUAUUUCUCUAGUUUCCAAGAAUGCCUCGAUUUCCAACAAUCCUUGGAUACUCCAUUUCUAGGCCCUAGUUACUCUGAGGACCUUGGUUUGAUGUUUUAGCUCUUAGCAGGAGAGGGAUCUUUCAGUAAGAAGGAAAUAGAAAAUCCUGCUGCCCCUAGGGUGGGGAUGAUGAGGAAAGCUGAAUAUGUAUCAGAAUAUCUUCUGCCCUGGAAAUCGAGGGACAUACAAAGUAAGUGACUUUGAAUGUUAAU